AGUGAACGCUGGCGGUAGGCCUAACACAUGCAAGUCGAACGGCAGCACAGUAAGAGCUUGCUCUUACGGGUGGCGAGUGGCGGACGGGUGAGGAAUACAUCGGAAUCUACUUUUUCGUGGGGGAUAACGUAGGGAAACUUACGCUAAUACCGCAUACGACCUACGGGUGAAAGCAGUGGAUCUUCGGACCUUGCGCGGUUGAAUGAGCCGAUGUCGGAUUAGCUAGUUGGCGGGUUAAAGGCCCACCAAGGCGGCGAUCCGUAGCUGGUCUGAGAGGAUGAUCACCGACAUGGGAACUGAGACACGGUCCAGACUCCUACGGGAGGCAGCAGUGGGGAAUAUUGGACAAUGGGCGCAAGCCUGACCCAGCCAUACCGCGUGGGUGAAGAGGGCCUUCGGGUUGUAAAGCCCUUUUGUUGGGAAAGAAAAGCAGCAGGUUAAUACCCCGCUGUUCUGACGGUACCCAAAGAAUAAGCACCGGCUAACUUCGUG
rnacentral:rRNA from 1 species